CGCCUCCGCCGCCGCCACCAUCACCGCCGCCGCCGGCCACCACCACCACCAUAAAGUACCACGUACGUACGUAGUCCAAAGUCAGUCAGUCAUACAUGAUGAGUUUUGUUCAUAUCGUUUUCUUCUCCAUGGUGGUGUUCAUCAUGGUUGUUCUAUCUCAGUUUCAGUUUCAGUUUCUUUCAGGUUCAUAUUCAUCAAACAAGUAUUUGCCUUGGAUAAAUACAACAAAUACAACUACAACUUCAUCUCACAGAAGGCUUCUUUUCCAAGGUCAAGUUUUCUUUUUAUGUAAAGUACAACUAAACAUGCACAUCGUACAAUAUAAUUACUUCACUUGCUGCUGCGGUAUUCCCUUGGUGGCGGUGGCGGUGGCGGUUGCGGUUGCGGGGGCGGUGGCGGUGGCGGUGGUGGCGGUGAAGAUGAAGUGGGUGGUAGGUCCCACAUAAAAUUUUAACUCAUACCUGAGGCAUUGGAAGAGUCUGCUGAGGGGCAUUGGAAGAGUCUGCUGAGGCAUUGGAUGAGUCUGCUGAGGGCAUUGGAGGAGUCUACCUAAUCAUUGAGACACGUGUCACUUCCAUAUUUAAAGAGGCAUGAGGGGUCUUGAAAGAGGCAUCCCGCACAUUUGAAUCCGUGAUGCCCUGCUCCAAGGAGACAUCAAAUGGCUAAUUUGGUGGUCAAAGUUUAUUCUUGCUAAUUUGCAAUGAUGAUGAAGAGGGAUGGAGAAUGGCCGAUGUGGAAUAACUGGGUCCCACCUAAAGUAAGAGCGAGCUUAGAUAGAGGAGUCGAAUAUAUCUUCUAAGGAGGUGAUGCAAAUGAUUAGUAACAUGAAGGGAUCCAAGGACGGGAAGAAAGUGAUCGGUGUGGUGCUUCUAACUAUUUUCUAGGACAUUUGGAAGUUGAACGGUGGAUUUAAUAAAAGAAAAUUUAUUUUUUUAUGGAUUAAGAGUAUAUCUAAAUUAGGAGAAAUGGAGCGAUUUUAAUUUUCUUCGUGAUUAUGCAUUGUUUGUUUGCGAGUGUUCUAU